rnacentral:rRNA from 1 species
UGCCCGGAGAAAUCCGGAUUAAUACCGCAUAAGACCACACGAUGGCAUCAUCGAGGGGUCAAACAUUUAUGGGACAGGGAUGGGCAUGCGUGCCAUUAGCUAGUUGGCGGGGUAACGGCCCACCAAGGCGACGAUGGCUAGGGGAUCUGAGAGGAUGACCCCCCACACUGGUACUGAGACACGGACCAGACUCCUACGGGAGGCAGCAGUAAGGAAUAUUGGUCAAUGGGCGCAAGCCUGAACCAGCCAUGCCGCGUGCAGGAAGACGGCCCUCUGGGUUGUAAACUGCUUUUAUUCGGGAAUAAACCUAUCUACGUGUAGAUAGCUGAAUGUACCGAAGGAAUAAGGAUCGGCUAACUCCGUGCCAGCAGCCGCGGUAAUACGGAGGAUCCAAGCGUUAUCCGGAUUUAUUGGGUUUAAAGGGUGCGUAGGCGGCCUGUUAAGUCAGGGGUGAAAGACGGUAGCUCAACUAUCGCAGUGCCCUUGAUACUGAUGGGCUUGAAUGGACUAGAGGUAGGCGGAAUGUGACAAGUAGCGGUGAAAUGCAUAGAUAUGUCACAGAACACCGAUUGCGAAGGCAGCUUACUAUGGUCUUAUUGACGCUGAGGCACGAAAGCGUGGGGAUCAAACAGGAUUAGAUACCCUGGUAGUCCACGCCCUAAACGAU